CCAAUAGCGUAUAUUAAAGUUGUUGCAGUUAAAAAGCUCGUAGUUGAACCUUAGGCCCGUGCGGGUGGUCCGUCCUCUGGGCGAGCACUGCUCCGUCGCGGGUCUCACCUUCUGGCGAGCGUGGAUGCCAUUCAGUUGGUGUCCGCGGGAACCAGGACCUUUACCUUGAAAAACUUAGAGUGCUCAAAGCGGGCUUUUAAGCUUGAAUCCAUUAGCAGGGAAUAAUGAAAUAGGACGGCGGUUCUAUUUUGUUGGUUUCCGGGACAGUCGUAAUGAUUAAUAGGGAUAGUUGGGGGCAUUCGUAUUCAAUUGUCAGAGGUGAAAUUCUUGGAUUUAUUGAAGACGAACUACUGCGAAAGCAUUUGCCAAGGAUGUUUUCAUUAAUCAAGAACGAAAGUUGGGGGAUCGAAGACGAUCAGAUACCGUCGUAGUCUCAACCAUAAACUAUGCCGACUGGGAAUCGGGCGAUGUUAUUUUUUUGUGACUCGCUCGGCGCCCCGAG
rnacentral:rRNA from 1 species